UUUUUGAAUUUAAUUUAAAGUYUAACCUGCCCMCUGAAAAUUUUUAAAGGGCCGCGGUAUUUUGACUGUGCAAAGGUAGCAUAAUCAUUAGUUUUUUAAUUGAAAGCUUGUAUGAAAGGUUGGACGAAGUAUUUACUGUCUCAUAAAAAUUUAUAAUAGAAAUUAAUUUUUUUGUUAAAAAGCAAAAAUAAAAUUAAAAGACGAGAAGACCCUAUAGAGCUUUAUAUUUUUAUUAUUUAAUUUAUUUAGAUUUUUAAAAAUUUUAUAAAAAAAAAUAUUUUGUUGGGGUGACAAUAAGAUUUAAAAAACUUUUAUUAUUUUAUUACAUUGAUUUAUGAAAAUUUGAUCCAUUAUUAAUGAUUAAAAAAUUAAGUUACCUUAGGGAUAACAGCGUAAUUUUUUUUAAGAGUUCAUAUCGACAAAAAAGAUUGCGACCUCGAUGUUGAAUUAAGAGUUAUUUUUAGGUGUAGAAGUUUAAAGUUUAGGUCUGUUCGACCUUUGAAUUCUUACGUGAUCUG
rnacentral:rRNA from 1 species